rnacentral:pre_miRNA from 1 species
UCACGAAUCUUUUUGCGGUCUGGGCUUGCUGUUCAUAAAAAUCCGUGUGGGAAGCCCUUACCCCAAAAAGCAUUUGUGGAGG